UUGGAGAAUUUAUUGAAUUUAGGUAUGGCUGUCGUCCCAUCUAGAGAACUAACCAAGACCCUGUGGGGGCAGAAGGAGACUUCUUUGGCUCCGUGAAUACACUAGCUAUGCGGUGGUCUAGUUAGUUUGAGUGUGUGGUUCGUAUUCAAAGUGUUCCAAGCCGCAGUUCACUCGAAGGUCAUCGUGGAUACGUCUGCACUUGACAAUCAAGGCUGGAAAGGACUGCCUGGUGUGUCCGAACGGUCAUUGGCAUGCUGUCUGUUUCACAGCUCGUGUAACAGGUUCACCGUACAGCUAUGAAUGCAAUGUAGCGUGUCGAAGCCACUUCGGUAUGACGUGAUGCCUAAUUCCCUGGUACCAAAAUUGCGAGUAUGCAAAUGAUCGUCAAGCCUGUCCCCUGUACAGUAGCCGUCUUGCCUUGUUACGCCUGGUUCUGACUCUGCGUUCUCGUAUACUCCAUGCAAUGUUACAAGGAAUACUGCUCCCUUCUCAAACAAUUCAUUGGCAACAAAACGCUCGGCUAUGCCGUGUAACUUUGC